GAUGAACGCUGGCGGCGUGCCUAAUACAUGCAAGUCGAGCGAACGGACGAGAAGCUUGCUCCUCUGAUGUUAGCGGCGGACGGGUGAGUAACACGUGGAUAACCUACCUAUAAGACUGGGAUAACUUCGGGAAACCGGAGCUAAUACCGGAUAAUAUUUUGAACCGCAUGGUUCAAAAGUGAAAGACGGUCUUGCUGUCACUUAUAGCCGGAUCCGCGCUGCAUUAGUUAGUUGGUAAGGUAACGGCUUACCAAGGCAACGAUGCAUAGCCGACCUGAGAGGGUGAUCGGCCACACUGGAACUGAGACACGGUCCAGACUCCUACGGGAGGCAGCAGUAGGGAAUCUUCCGCAAUGGGCGAAAGCCUGACGGAGCAACGCCGCGUGAGUGAUGAAGGUCUUCGGAUCGUAAAGCUCUGUUGUUAGGAAAGAACAUAUGUGUAAGUAACUGUGCACAUCUUGACGGUACCUAAUCAAAAAGCCACGGCUAACUACGUG
rnacentral:rRNA from 1 species